UCCUUGGUGACCCAGUGGCUAGGACUCUGCACUCCCAAUGCAGGGGGCCUGGGUUCGAUCCCUGGUCAGGGAG
rnacentral:tRNA from 1 species